GACGAACGCUGGCGGCGUGCCUAAUACAUGCAAGUCGAGCGCAGGGAAUCAUCCGAACCCUUCGGGGGGACGUUGAUGGAAUGAGCGGCGGACGGGUGAGUAACACGUAAAGAACCUGCCCUCAGGUCUGGGAUCACCACGAGAAAUCGGGGCUAAUACCGGAUGGGUCAUCGGACCGCAUGGUCCGAGGAUGAAAGGCGCUUCGGCGUCGCCGGGGGAUAGCUUUGCGGUACAUAAGCUAGUUGGUGGGGUAAUGGCCCACCAAGGCGACGAUGCAUAGCCGAACUGAGAGGGUGAUCGGCCACACUGGGACUGAGACACGGCCCAGACUCCUACGGGAGGCAGCAGUAGGGAAUCUUCCACAAUGGACGAAGGUCUGAUGGAGCAACGCCGCGUGAACGAUGAAGGCCUUCGGGUCGUAAAGUUCUGUUGUAAGGGAAGAACAAGUGCCGCAGGCAAUGGCGGCACCUUGACGGUACCUUGCGAGAAAGCCACGGCUAACUACGUGCCAGCCGCCGCGGUAA
rnacentral:rRNA from 1 species